GACGAACGCUGGCGGCGCGCUUAACACAUGCAAGUCGAGCGGGAACCGGGCCUUCGGGCCCGGGGACAGCGGCGAACGGGUGAGUAACACGUGGGUAAUCUGCCCUCGGUACUGGGAUAGCCCGGGGAAACCCGGAUUAAUACCGGAUAGCCCUUCGAGCCUUCGGGCUCGCAGGAAAAGGUAGCUUCGGCCUCCGACCGAGGAUGAGCCCGCGGCGGAUUAGCUUGUUGGUGGGGUAACGGCCUACCAAGGCGACGAUCCGUAGCUGGUCUGAGAGGACGAUCAGCCACACUGGGACUGAGACACGGCCCAGACUCCUACGGGAGGCAGCAGUGGGGAAUCUUGCCCAAUGGGCGAAAGCCUGAGGCAGCGACGCCGCGUGCGGGAAGAAGGCCCUCGGGUUGUAAACCGCUUUCAGGAGGGACGAAGCCACUCGGGUUAAUAGCCCAGAGGGUGACGGUACCUCCAGAAGAAGCCCCGGCUAACUACGUGCCAGCAGCCGCCGUAAGAC
rnacentral:rRNA from 1 species